rnacentral:siRNA from 1 species
CAGCCGUUACAAAACAUGGCCUA